rnacentral:rRNA from 1 species
AUUGAACGCUGGCGGCAGGCUUAACACAUGCAAGUCGAGCGGGGGAGGUUGCUUCGGUAACUGACCUAGCGGCGGACGGGUGAGUAAUGCUUAGGAAUCUGCCUAUUAGUGGGGGACAACGUCCCGAAAGGAACGCUAAUACCGCAUACGUCCUACGGGAGAAAGCAGGGGAUCUUCGGACCUUGCGCUAAUAGAUGAGCCUAAGUCGGAUUAGCUAGUUGGUGGGGUAAAGGCCACCAAGGCGACGAUCUGUAGCGGGUCUGAGAGGAUGAUCCGCCACACUGGGACUGAGACACGGCCCAGACUCCUACGGGAGGCAGCAGUGGGGAAUAUUGGACAAUGGGCGGAAGCCUGAUCCAGCCAUGCCGCGUGUGUGAAGAAGGCCUUUUGGUUGUAAAGCACUUUAAGCGAGGAGGAGGCUCCUUUAGUUAAUACCUAAAGUGAGUGGACGUUACUCGCAGAAUAAGCACCGGCUAACUCUGUGCCAGCCGCCGCCGUAAUAC